UAAUCGUGACUUAACGCCAAAGCAUUUGCCAAUGCAACUGUGAUAUUAGAAAAGGAAAGACAGGGAACAAAAAAAUGGCGCGAGUACGGUCGGAAACGGUAAAACAGGGCAAACAGGGCGAAAACGAUGAACUUGACUUUGUACGGACACAAAGACAGGCGUGGUGAUUUGAAUCUUAUAAAUAGAUUUUCUCAGUUCCAUAAGACUACCUGCCCAAACCUAUUUCAUUGGAUCGCAUCCUAGAAGACAGGUAUACAGACCGAGAAAUUGUUUACGUAUUCCCAAAUGGAAUUAUUUACCUGACUCCUCCGAUUGCAAGGAUAUCUGCAGUGCAAUCGACCGAGAAAGCAUUUUCCUUGUAUAUAAACUUCAACUUAAAAUUGAAUUCGAUCUCCAUUCAGUCCUCACCAGACCGUGCAAGCAGGAGGGAGUGAAGGACGCGUUUUAUAUUUUGAAUCACAAGGAGAAUCUGAACUCUUGCAAGCAUGUGUAGUGCCAAUUCUAAUGUCCUGCUAUAGGUCAACUUACUCCAUGCCGACAUCAUUUUAACAGGAUCAAUUCAACUCUCUUCAACACGCCUUGUUAUAUUGUGUAUCAAGCACAGGUGUCUGUGGGAUGCGCGCCAUGUGUUAGACAAAAUGUCUUUGUAGAAAAACGGUUUCCUAGACCGUAAUGGUGGGAGCUUACUCUGUACAUGACCUCGACGAGGACGUCCUGUCGCUCCUUUACCAAGUGCAGCCUUAGGUAUGCAUGCUAUUGGUUCGUUCUUGUUGCGGUUCUCCUUGUUUGUGCCAACUUCGCACCGCAAACAGAUGCAGGGAGACAUUAUUAGAAAUGGGGUUCAUUGUGAUGUUUUUGUAAUGAUACCGUUGCUGACAUGUAUGCAAGAUGUGAGCAUUCGGACCAAGCACACCAAAUGUUUGACAAAUGACUGAGCGCAAUGUAGUCUCCUCAAACACCGUGACGGGAGGGUAUACUCCGAAUUGGCAAAUUGUCGAGGCCUUUAGGUGUUUUGAACGAAUGGCUAAACGAAAUGUUCAUGGGAUAUGAACAGAGUGGGUUUAUUGACAAUGCUAUGAAGUUCUAGAAUAACAAUUUUGAUGAAGCUUUGAGUCUUUUUAAAUAAAUACUUAUGUCUUGGACAAAGGUGAAUUCUCUCGCUUUUGCUGGAGUUGUACAUUCUAGUAUUGACGACAAUGCAGCUCUGCAACAUGGUAAAACUGUCUGUGGAUGCAUGGUUAAAAAUGGUCUCCUAGAAGAGAUAAUCGUGUGUAAUUUUUUUGUAGACAUGUAUGCCAAAUGCAAGGGCCUUGGACAGCAUGCAGUAUUUGAAAGAAUAUAUAAAGGGAAAAUUAUUAAAUGGAAUGUGAAGAUUGUGGGAUGCACAAAUAAUGGAGACCAGGAGAUGUUGAUGUGGCUAGGAUAAUUUAUAAUGAAAUGUCUGAUUGGAAUGCGCUGACAUGUAAUGUGACGACUGCGGGAUAUGCACGGGAUGGGUGUGUUGAUGAGGCACAAAGCUACCUGAGAUAAUGCAUGCAAAAACCCUGGUUUAGUGGAAUAUGAUGGUUGCAGCAUAUUCCUAGACCGAGUUUUCUAAUUAAGCCUUGGAGCUCUUUCAGCAAAUGAAAAUGAAAAUGUCAGGAAUCAAGCCAAAUUGGAUCACUUUUGCUACUGUUCUUCCAGCAUUUGCCAACUUUGCAGGUCUGCAACAGGGGAAGGAGCUCCUUUAUAGUACCCAGUAAAACUGUUACUAUUACUUAUCAGAACCAAUGAAUUGUGAAGAAUUAUUUGA